GGGGAAUAUUGCACAAUGGGCGAAAGCCUGAUGCAGCAACGCCGCGUGAGUGAAGAAGGUUUUCGGAUUGUAAAGCUCUGUCUUCUGGGACGAUAAUGACGGUACCAGAGGAGGAAGCCACGGCUAACUACGUGCCAGCAGCCGCGGUAAUACGUAGGUGGCAAGCGUUGUCCGGAUUUACUGGGCGUAAAGGAUGUGUAGGCGGAUAUUUAAGUGAGAUGUGAAAUCCCCGGGCUUAACUUGGGCAGUGCAUUUCAAACUGGAUGUCUGGAGUGCAGGAGAGGAGAACGGAAUUCCUAGUGUAGCGGUGAAAUGCGUAGAGAUUAGGAAGAACACCAGUGGCGAAGGCGGUUCUCUGGACUGUAACUGACGCUGAGGCACGAAAGCGUGGGUAGCAAAC
rnacentral:rRNA from 1 species